rnacentral:rRNA from 1 species
AGAGUUUGAUCCUGGCUCAGAACGAACGCUGGCGGCGUGCCUAACACAUGCAAGUCGAACGAGAAAGUUUCUUCGGAAACGAGUAAAGUGGCGCACGGGUGAGUAACACGUGAAUAAUCUGCCUUCGAGACUGGAAUAACUUGACGAAAGUUAAGCUAAUACCAGAUAAGACCACGCUUCACAAGGAGUGCGGGAAAAGGGAUCUCAAAUCCUGCUCGUAGAUGAGUUCGCGUACCAUUAGCUUGUUGGUGAGAUAAAAGCUCACCAAGGCGACGAUGGUUAGCCGGCCUGAGAGGGUGAUCGGCCACACUGGAACUGAGACACGGUCCAGACUCCUACGGGAGGCAGCAGUGGGGAAUCUUGCGCAAUGGGCGAAAGCCUGACGCAGCAACGCCGCGUGAGCGAUGAAGGCCUUCGGGUCGUAAAGCUCUGUCAAGUGGGAAGAACACAAUGACGGUACCACUAGAGGAAGCCCCGGCUAACUUCGUGCCAGCAGCCGCGGUAAUACGAAGGGGGCAAGCGUUGUUCGGAAUUAUUGGGCGUAAAGCGUAUGUAGGUGGUUUAUCAAGUCAGACGUGCAAGCCCUCGGCUCAACCGAGGAAUUGCGUUUGAAACUGAUAGACUUGAGUGUAGGAGAGGAAAGCGGAAUUCCCAGUGUAGCGGUGAAAUGCGUUGAUAUUGGGAAGAACACCGGUGGCGAAAGCAGCUUUCUGGCCUGCUACUGACACUGAGAUACGAAAGCCAGGGGAGCAAGGGGGAUUAGAUACCCCCGUAGUC